CGGUGACCUCGAUCAGGUAGGAGUU
rnacentral:rRNA from 1 species